rnacentral:lncRNA from 1 species
CCCCCACUGGCGGCCAUCUUGGAUGACGGAUCGGCUACAAAGUAACAACACUUGGUCAGCACCUCAUAAGGAACAUUCAUGCCAUGUUUGGUUUUAUUCCAUUCAGUGGUUCUCUAAAAGAAGUCAUUUGUAUGCAUUUCCAAUAGGGUCCUAUGUUAAACUAAGUCCCCUGCUGGCGGCCAUCUUGGAUGAUGGAUCGGCUACAAAGUAACAACACUUGGUCAGCACCUCAUAAGGAACAUUCAUGCAAUGUUUGGUUUUAUUCCAUUCAGUGGUUCUCUAAAAGAAGUCAUUUGUAUGCAUUUCCCAUAGGGUCCUAUGUUAAACUAAGUCCCCCGCUGGCGGCAAUCU